AGGUGUAACGCCCGUGAACCGGA
rnacentral:siRNA from 1 species